AUGUUGGGACAGAGCAUCUGGAGGUUCACAACCUCUGUGGUCCGUAGGAGCUAUGAGGAGGGCCCAGGGAAGAAUUGGCCAUUUUCAGUGGAAAACAAGUGGCAGUUGCUAGUUAUGAUGAGUCUGUACUUUGGAUCUGGAUUUGUUGCACCUUUCUUUAUAGUAAGACACCAACUGCUUAAGAAGCAAGGAUGUUUUACUUAA